CCAGGUGGUUACAACGCUGAGGAACUGCAGGCAUAUUGCGAACACGAGGUUCGUCGUGCCGGGGGGCUCCAAGUGGAGGAGGAUCCGAUUGUGGCGUAUUGCAGGCUUGCCACAAGGCAAGGCCACCGAGAGUUGAUCCGACAAAUUCAGCUCCUCCUCAGAUCCAUCAACCUGCUUCAUCGCGUCGGUAAGCCACACAUUCACACAUUUCAUUUACCUUAAUGCGUUUGCUCGGAAUUCAAAAGUGAGACCGGCUGGGUUCCCAGGCUUGUUCGCUCAUUACGGGACCUGGAAGCUAGGGACCACGUACCAGAUGUACGAAGCUGGCCUGGGAGAGUAUAUCCAAGAGGCGGUCAAGGACCCAGAUCGCUGGAAUUCCUUCAUCGCUGUGGUCAGCAGAGUGGAAACGAUUAGAGCGGUGUUACCAGACGCGCUAGACACUCGAUGUUUUUACGUGGAUCCAGAGACACAAACAGGAAAAUGUCCAUCAGAUUC